GAGCCGCGUGGUGAGCACAAAGCAAACAAUUCUUUCGCCUUUACUAAAGAAUACCAUGUGCUCGCCACUCUAAAACGGCAUACCUCUGUUGGAAGGUUGUUCUCUUUCAGUGC